AUGCAGUCGUACGAGAAAGCCCCUUUCGGGGGGUGAGUAAAGUGGCGCACGGGUGAGUAACACGUAGACAACCUGCCUUCCAGUUCGGGAUAACCUUUCGAAAGAAGGGCUAAUACCGGAUAACACUCCGCCUCGCAUGGGGCGGGGUUGAAAGGGUGUUCCUUCGGGGGCAUCGCGCUGGUAGAGGGGUCUGCGGGGCAUUAGCUUGUUGGUGAGGUAAAGGCUCACCAAGGCCAUGAUGUCUAGCGGGUCUGAGAGGAUGAUCCGUCACACUGGAACUGAGACACGGUCCAGACACCUACGGGAGGCAGCAGUGGGGAAUUUUGCGCAAUGGGCGCAAGCCUGACGCAGCAACGCCGCGUGAGUGAAGAAGGCCCUUGGGUCGUAAAGCUCUUUUCUGGGGGAAGAUGAUGACGGUACCCCAGGAAUAAGCACCGGCUAACUCCGUGCCAGCAGCCGCGGUAAGACGGAGGGUGCAAGCGUUGUUCGGAUUUACUGGGCGUAAAGGGCGUGUAGGCGGAAUUGCAAGCCGGGGGUGAAAGGCCUGGGCUCAACCCAGGACGGUCUUCCGGAACCGCAGCUCUAGAGAGAGUCAGAGGCAGGUGGAAUUCCAGGUGUAGAGGUGAAAUUCGUAGAUAUCUGGAGGAACACCGGCGGCGAAGGCGGCCUGCUGGGGCUCUUCUGACGCUGAGGCGCGAAAGCGUGGGUAGCAAACAGGAUUAGAUACCCUGGUAGUCCACGCUGUAAACGAUGAGCACUAGAUGUGCGCGGUACGACCCCGCGUGUGUCGCAGCU
rnacentral:rRNA from 1 species